UUGGUUGCUAUUUUUUACUUACUCACUUUCCAAUUAAAAAUAAGGGGAAAUGACAACUUUACUUCAAUGUGCUUUCCUUUUUGUAAUACUUGAAGGUGUCCAGUCAGAAAUCCAGCUCACAGAAUCAGGAGGAGACAUUAAAAGACCAGGAGAGUCUCUCCGCCUCUCCUGCAGAGCCUCCGGGUUCACCUUCAGCAGCUAUUACAUGUCAUGGGGGAGACAAGCUCCUGGAAAGGGCCUGGAAUGGGUGGCCAGAAUAGGUACAGCUUCAUCUCCCAUUAACUACUUGGAUUCCAUCAAAGGAAGAUUCACCAUUUCCAGGGAUGAUUCAAACAGCCAGCUGUUUUUGCAAAUGAACAACCUUAAACCUGAGGACACAGCCGUGUAUUACUGUGCAAGAGACACAAUGAUUGACUUCCAUUUAGAUCUUAGACAAAAACCCUUCACUACAUUCCUUUAGUGAAGUUUCCAGAGGGAGCACUAAAGCACCACAAACCAGAAACUCACAGAGCAGAGAAGACAAAACAAGGGAACAACAAUAGCUGUUAUUAUAGGGAACAUCAGUUCUUCUUUGUCCUGUCUCUAACCUACUGGGAGUUGUCCCAUGAUCAUCUUGUUCCAACGCAGUGGGCCCAUUCAAAACAAAUUCAUCCUGCCCAGUCCUUUCUUUCUCACAUAGGGCUACUUCCCUCAAGAUUUCUGUUCUUUCAAAAUUUCUGAUUACAGUGGAAGAUAUUCAGGAGCAGUUUGUGCCACCACCAUGUUGUGGUCCUCCUGGACUGAGAAUAAAGUAAUCUGGAAAUACUAUGCUCAUUUCUUGAGACUCAGAGAAAAUGAUGUUCUGGCCUAGAUAAGUAAAACAACAGUAAUUUACAGUCUUUCCCCAUCACAGCACAAUGCCAUUUACUGCUACAUUGUUACUUCCAGCUUGACCCACAUAAAUUAGAACGCAGACCUCCUCCCAUCCCAGAUCCUUUCCCCGUGCAAAGUUCUUUCUUUUGAAGUGUGGUGCUGCACAUGCCUCACCACCCAGCACCCAAAUUAACAGCCUCCCAGCCUGCCUCAACUGCAAUAAAAGCUGGUGAUAAUGGGUGGGGCUUGAAUUCUCAAAGGGGUCAGAAGAGAAUCACCAAUGAGUCAAGCAUAUACAACAAGGAAAAUAAUUAUACAAGAGAUAUUAAUAACAUGUGCAAUUAUUUGGCCCAGCACAUAUGACCAUUCCUGGAGCUCAUAUAUGUUUCUUUCAAGAUUCCAUCAAUAUCUUUUGCUUUUUUCCAGAGUUUAUAAGAAG